rnacentral:miRNA from 10 species
UUAGGUUGGUGAAAAGUAAUCAUGGUUUUUGCCAUUACUUUUUAUUGCAAAAACUGGAAUUACUUUUGUACCAACCUAAUA